UGAGUCCUGGAGGCGGGAACGUGGCUGGUUGAGGUUCAAAGACCUGCGCUCUAAUUACCAGCAUAAUUAGAAUAAGAACAUGUUGCUCACUCCAGAGGGGCCCGCCCCGCGCCUCUGCUGCUCUGGGAGAAAGCGUGUUUAAGAAUUCCCAUGGAGUUGCAUGGGAGGAAAAGCGACCCCACGCUGAGCUGCCAACGUGGUUGUCAGCGCGCCCCGUGUGAUUUCGUGCCGCUGUUUUCAAUGCGCUAACGAGGCACGUUAUUCUUAGCCGCGUCCGGGAGGGGAUCACAUUCCUGCGCAGUUGCGCUGCUGGCGGAAGUGACUUGUUUUCUAACGACCCUCGUGACAGCCAGAGAAUGUCCGUUUCUCGGAGCGCAGCACAGCCUGUCCCAUCGAGAAGCCUCGGGUGGACAUGGACUCCAUGGAAGCCUGAGCUGCCAGGGGCUUCCCUGGGGCAGCACUGCUUCGCGUAGGCUCACGAGAAACUUCCAGGGUUCCUGGCGCCAGCCUUUCAACAGAGCAGCACAUUAUGCCUGGAUAAGACUCAAAGAGCAGCUUAAUAUCAGGUUCUCUGGGGCUGUAAUCAUCGGUUCAGGAUGGAGCAGACACAGCCGCAGCAAGGCCUCUGUGCAGCCCCCGGUUUAAAACACAUCAACGCAUCCGUGGGCACUUUUGUGAGUUAAAGCUCAACUUACACAUCUGCCUGUAUCCAUAGGAAAUGAAUGAAAAUAAACAAACAAAUUCCUUGCAUUCAACGCAGCGUAAGAAAAAUCACAUCCUGUUCCCCAGUAGCUGAGGAAAGCCGGCUCACGAGAGUAUACAGGGAGAAGAGGCCAGCAUUGUGUGGCUGCCAGCAAAGCUCACUUGUAUGUCAAAUGCAGCGCUUUUCUUAGCCCAUUAUGUAUUUUUUUUUUCUUGAACACUCCUGUGUCUACUGGGAUCUCCUGUUUUUAUUGUUUUGGGAUGAGAUUUUAAAAACACCAUUUAAUGUAGCCUGUGUGCUCUUGUUCAUUAAACCAAAAAGAAACCCUGGAUCACGGCACAGGAGACUCUCCUCCCCGUUCUCUAGGGAUGCGCCCUCAUGGGGAAACCCUCUUUUCUCAUUAUUUUUGAUGGUGUGCUCUAACAAGACGAUCUGGAGGAAACUCCAUGUUCACAGGACACAUUCCUGCAACGUGGCUUGAAGGGCCCACACCAGGGUUUGGCUCAUCCAUGUCGCAAACUAGAGGGGAGGAGGGUGCUGGCUAUUUCCCAUCUGCAGUCUCAGUUUCCCCACCAGAGGACUGGAGGGAGUACUUGGGUGGGCUGUGAUGCAAUCCCGGCACGAACCCCCCAGCACUGGCAUUGGAGUCGGAGGUUUGGGCAUAGUCGCCAACAUCGCACUUACUUCCAUGCCAGCACCAAGUCUGCGGCUCCCCAGGCCACUCUCACUUCUGACCACAAGUUCAAGGCUCCCACAGCCUCUCUGGGGUCCGUAGUUCACUAGAACGACUCGCAGAACUCAGAAAAGCUCUGUCCUCACAACUGCAGCCCUACCACCGAGGCCACGCUGAGGACCCAGCAGCGGAGACGCAUCCAGGGCCGGUCGAGAUCAGGAGGGUCCCAACCUGGGGUUCCCGGGCCCUCUCCCUGUGGAAGGGGGCAGGGGGCACUUCCCCUCCCGCACGUCUGCGAGUUCUCACCGGGGCCUCCUUCUGUAGGGAUCACUGCCCAGGUGAUGAGCUCCUUCUCAAGCCUCCUCCCUUUUGGGAGGUCAAAGUUCAGCUAUACCAUGCGGCCCCACCCUGUAAUUGCAUAGUUGGCCUUUCUGGUGUGGCCAGCCCCAUGCAGACCCUAAGAUGCCUAGGGACCUCCUUGAGUAACAAAUUCCCAUCACUCAGGAAAUUCCGCAGGCUUAGAUGUUACCUCCUAGGAACCCAGGACAAAGACCAG
rnacentral:lncRNA from 1 species